rnacentral:rRNA from 1 species
UGGAACAGGUCCGAGGAGUACACUCCCCUAACCGUAGCUCAGUUCAGAUCGUAGGCUGCAACUCGCCUACGUGAAGGAGGAAUCGCUAGUAAUCGCAGGUCAGCAUACUGCGGUGAAUACGUUCCCGGGCCUUGUACACACCGCCCGUCACACCAUGGAAGUUGGCCAUGCCCGAAGCCGUUACUCCAACCCUUGUGGAGGAGGACGUCGAAGGUGGGGCUGAUGACUGGGGUGAAGUCGUAACAAGGUAUCCGUACCGGAAGGUGCGGAUGGAUCACCUCCUAA